UACGGGGGGGAGCAAGCGUUGUUCGGAUUUACUGGGCGUAAAGGGCGCGUAGGCGGUCGUGACAAGUCACUUGUGAAAUCUCCGGGCUUAACUCGGAACGGUCAGCCGAUACUGCGGGGCUAGAGUGCAGAAGGGGCAACUGGAAUUCUCGGUGUAGCGGUGAAAUGCGUAGAUAUCGAGAGGAACACCUGCGGCGAAGGCGGGUUGCUGGGCUGACACUGACGCUGAUGCGCGAAAGCUAGGGGAGCGAACGGG
rnacentral:rRNA from 1 species